UACGAAGGGGGCGAGCGUUGUUCGGAUUUACUGGGCGUAAAGGGCGCGCAGGCGGCUUAUUUUGUCAGGCGUGAAAGCCCCGGGCUUAACCUGGGAACUGCGUUUGAUACGGAUGGGCUAGAGUUCGGGAGAGGAGCGUGGAAUUCCCAGUGUAGAGGUGAAAUUCGUAGAUAUUGGGAAGAACACCGGUGGCGAAGGCGGCGCUCUGGACCGAGACUGACGCUGAGGCACGAAAGCGUGGGGAGCAAACAGG
rnacentral:rRNA from 1 species